rnacentral:rRNA from 1 species
AUCGAACGCUGGCGGCAGGCCUAAUACAUGCAAGUCGAACGAGUGGCGGACGGGUGAGUAAUGUCUGGGAAACUGCCUGAUGGAGGGGGAUAACUACUGGAAACGGUAGCUAAUACCGCAUACCAUCGGAUGUGCCCAGAGGGGAUUAGCUAGUAGGUGGGGUAACGGCUCACCUAGGCGACGAUCCCUAGCUGGUCUGAGAGGAUGACCAGCCACACUGGAACUGAGACACGGCCCAGACUCCUACGGGAGGCAGCAGUGGGGAAUAUUGGACAAUGGGCGAAAGCCUGAUGCAGCCAUGCCGCGGGUAUGAAGAGGGCUUUCGGGUUGUAAAGUACUUUCAGCGGGGAGGCGGUACCCGCCGAAGAAGCACCGGCUAACUCCGUGCCAGCAGCCGCGGUAAUUC